rnacentral:rRNA from 1 species
UGCGUAGGGUGCGAGCGUUGUCCGGAAUUACUGGGCGUAAAGAGCUCGUAGGUGGUUUGUCGCGUUGUUCGUGAAAACUCACAGCUUAACUGUGGGCGUGCGGGCGAUACGGGCAGACUGGAGUACUGCAGGGGAGACUGGAAUUCCUGGUGUAGCGGUGGAAUGCGCAGAUAUCAGGAGGAACACCGGUGGCGAAGGCGGGUCUCUGGGCAGUAACUGACGCUGAGGAGCGAAAGCGUGGGGAGCGAACAGG